UCUCUCUCUCUCUCUGUUUCCUUUUUCAAUUCAUACAGUUUUAAUGUGCUUGUGUGAUUGCACGCUGGUGUUUCCCUUUGCAUUUGUCAUCCAUGAAUCAGCAAACCCGCAUAUUGCUGUCUUGUGGCGUCUUCCCGGCACCACUGUACAUAGAAAUAUUCAACAGUAUCCAGAAGCAUUACAUACAAUGGAAUUGUGAUUGUUCGAAUUGACGCACCUAUUUAUUUUGCAAACAUUAGUUACAUAAAGGAUAGGUACAAUUUCAGGUUGUGCCAUUUUGAUGUUCUGUGAAUCUAACUGUUUAUUUACCUAGCAAGUCUCUUCAGUUGUGUUAGUUUUCCCCAGUUAAGGAAUCAUAUUCAAGUUAAUUUAAUUGCCUUUCGCGGACCAGAAGUUGAGGUUGAUAGGUCUGCUAGUCGCGGACCAGAAGUUGAAAGAAUUUAUUUUGUGAACAUAGAGAUGGCACGCUAGUUUUUGCUAAUCCUGUGCUUUUUUCUUUGGAAUUUGUUCUUCUCAUGGGUUAUGAAGAAGCAUUUAGUGAUCAGAUAUUCAUUCAAAGUUCAAACACAAUAAUAUUGCUAAACAUUCGAAAGAAUUCCAGUUCUGCAUACUGCAAAUAUAUACCACAUUUGAUUGACAUGGAUGUUUCAGUUCCCAGCAAAAUCUAAGCUGAUGCUUUUCAAUUAUUAUUUGACGUUGUCUGUUAAGUCAUCUAAUUCAGUGAUUUAUUUUUGGAAAUAUUUCGGGAAGUCAUGCAUUGUUGUUUCUAGCUCUCGAAAAAUUCCAUGGACUUGUCUCUUUUGUAUCAUGCCUGCUGAGCUUGUUCAGAACUUUCUAAAUAAGGUCUGGUGAUUUUCUGAACUGUAUCAUUAUCGUGUUGCAACUGUAACAUACAUAGACUCCAGCGCUGUCCAAGCUUUUAUAGACUUACAUCAGGAGUACGAGCCGCGUAAUAUCCAGAUAGCCAUUUCCAAUCCCAAUUGAGAAGUUCUGAUGACUUUAUCAAGCUCAAAUGUAGUGGACCUGAUUGGUAAGGAGUGGUACUUUGUGAGAGUGCACGAUGCAGUUCAAGUUUGCCUUCGGCACUUCCAGAGCUUAAGGGAGACGCCUAAAACAGCAGACCCUUCGUCUGGCACUGGAGUCUGGCAACGAGCAGAGGAUUCAUCGGUGUCCGAACUGGAGUCUGGCACCCAGAUUGAUCCCCAGUUGGAGCGGCUAUUGUCACGAAAAUCUUCUUGAUAUUGAUGGCAUGUAAUAUAUGAUGCCUAUAUUUUUGCUAGGCGGCUUUGUAUUCAAUCACAUCAAUCCCAUUCUUUAGCUGUUCAGGGUUUUGAUUAUUUCAUGUAAUUAGGCUCCUUUGUAGUUGUAAAAUGUAAUACACGAGCUUCCUUGUUAAAAGAAAAAAGCCAAAUUGUAAGUAAUGUGCUUUGAAUAAAUGUAGAGAA